rnacentral:rRNA from 1 species
ACGGUCUCUGAGAGGAGAAGCCCGGUGAUGUCUUGUGACACACACCCCCACCCCCUAUGGGGCGCAGCGGGCGAGAAACCUUUGCAAUGUGCGCAAGCACGACAAGGUUAAUCCGAGUGUUUCCUGCUAAAGGAAUCUUUUGUUAGUUCUAAAACCACUGAUGAAUAAGGGGUGGGCAAGUUCUGGUGUCAGCCGCCGCGGUAAAACCAGCACCUCAAGUGGUCAGGAGGAUUAUUGGGCCUAAAGCAUCCGUAGCCGGUUCUGUAAGUUUCCGGUUAAAUCCACUAGCUCAACUAAUGGGCUGCCGGAAAUACUGCAGAACUAGGGAGUGGGAGAGGUAGACGGUACUCGGGAGGAAGGGGUAAAAUCCUUUGAUCUCUUGAUGACCACCUGUGGCGAAGGCGGUCUACCAGAACACGUUCGACGGUGAGGGAUGAAAGCUGGGGGAGCAAACCGGAUUAGAUACCCGGGUAGUCCCAGCUGUAAACGAUGCAGACUCGGUGAUGCACUGGCUUUUGGCCAGUGCAGUGCCGCAGGGAAGCCGUUAAGUUUGCCGCCUGGGAAGUACGUACGCAAGUAUGAAACUUAAAGGAAUUNGCGGGGGAGCACCACAAGGGGUGAAGCCUGCGGUUCAAUUGGAUUCAACGCCGGAAA